UGCGUAGACGGUUAUGCAAGUUGGUAGCGUAAUCCCGGGGCUUAACUCCGGAACUACUACCAAAACUGUAUGGCUUGAGUGCGGUAGGGGUAUGUGGAAUUCCUAGUGUAGCGGUGGAAUGCGUAGAUAUUAGGAGGAACACUAGAGGCGAAAGCGACAUACUGGGCCGUAACUGACGUUGAGGCACGAAAGCGUGGGGAGCAAACA
rnacentral:rRNA from 1 species